GAGAUAGGAAUUCCACGUGUAGCGGUGAAAUGCGUAGAGAUGUGGAGGAACACCAGUGGCGAAGGCGACUCUCUGGUCUGUAACUGACGCUGAGGAGCGAAAGCGUGGGGAGCGAACAGGAUUAGAUACCCUGGUAGUCCACGCCGUAAACGAUGAGUGCUAAGUGUUAGGGGGUUUCCGCCCCUUAGUGCUGCAGCUAACGCAUUAAGCACUCCGCCUGGGGAGUACGGUCGCAAGACUGAAACUCAAAGGAAUUGACGGGGGCCCGCACAAGCGGUGGAGCAUGUGGUUUAAUUCGAAGCAACGCGAAGAACCUUACCAGGUCUUGACAUCCUCUGACAACCCUAGAGAUAGGGCUUUCCCUUCGGGGACAGAGUGACAGGUGGUGCAUGGUUGUCGUCAGCUCGUGUCGUGAGAUGUUGGGUUAAGUCCCGCAACGAGCGCAACCCUUGAUCUUAGUUGCCAGCAUUCAGUUGGGCACUCUAAGGUGACUGCCGGUGACAAACCGGAGGAAGGUGGGGAUGACGUCAAAUCAUCAUGCCCCUUAUGACCUGGCUACCCCACGUGCUACAAUGGACAGGAACAAAGGGCCUGCAAGACCGCAAGGUUUAGCC
rnacentral:rRNA from 2 species